rnacentral:ncRNA from 1 species
UCAGGUGCCCGAUCUUUCAAGACCGGGAUAAUAGGGAAACAGGUGAGAAUCCUGUACGAUCUCGUCACUGUAUUCAGGGAGGCUCUUUUCUCUUAGAUGUCACUGCACUCCUCAUGCGGGAAGGCGUGGAAAGAGUCUUUGAUCUGUAAGCCAGGAAACCUGCCUUUGGG